UACGUAGGGUGCAAGCGUUGUCCGGAAUUACUGGGCGUAAAGGGCGCGUAGGCGGCCAGCACAAGUCAGUUGUGAAAUCUCCGAGCUUAACUCGGAACGGUCAACUGAUACUGUGCGGCUAGAGUGCGGAAGGGGCAACUGGAAUUCUUGGUGUAGCGGUGAAAUGCGUAGAUAUCGAGAGGAACACUUGCGGCGAAGGCGGGUUGCUGGGCUGAUACUGACGCUGAGGCGCGAAAGCGUGGGGAGCAAACAGG
rnacentral:rRNA from 1 species